rnacentral:rRNA from 1 species
UAUUAAAAACAUGGCUUGUUGAUAAUAAUUUCAAGUCUGACCUGCCCAAUGAAUAUUUAAUUAAAUGGCCGCGGUAUAUUGACCGUGCAAAGGUAGCAUAAUCAUUAGUUUUUUAAUUGGAAGCUAGAAUGAAAGGUUUGAUGAGAAAGGUUCUGUCUCUAGAAAAAUUUAUUAGAAUUUUAUUUUUAAGUGAAAAAGCUUAAAUAUUUAUAGAAGACGAGAAGACCCUAUAGAGUUUUAUAUUUGUAAAAAUAUUAGGUUUUAGGAUAAAAUAAUUUAAUUUUUGUUCAAGUAUUUUAUUGGGGUGAUAAGGAAAUUUAUAUAACUUUUCUUGUUUUUUUACAUUAAUUUAUGAAUUUAUGAUCCUAUAGUUUAGAUUAAAAGAUUAAAUUACCUUAGGGAUAACAGCGUAAUUUUUCUUAGAGUUCUUAUCGAAAGAAAAGAUUGCGACCUCGAUGUUGGAUUAAAAUAAAUUGUUGGUGUAGGAGCUAAUUAAUUAAGUCUGUUCGACUUUUAAAAUUUUACAUGAUCUGAGUUUAAACCGGUGUGAGCCAGGUCGGUC